rnacentral:rRNA from 1 species
AGUGAACGCUGGCGGUAGGCCUAACACAUGCAAGUCGAACGGCAGCACAGUAAGAGCUUGCUCUUACGGGUGGCGAGUGGCGGACGGGUGAGGAAUACAUCGGAAUCUACUUUUUCGUGGGGGAUAACGAAGGGAAACUUACGCUAAUACCGCAUACGACCUACGGGUGAAAGCAGGGGAUCUUCGGCCCUUGCGCGAUUAAAUGAGCCGAUGUCGGAGUAGCUAGUUGGCGGGGUAAAGGCCCACCAAGGCGACGAUCCGUAGCUGGUCUGAGAGGAUGAUCAGCCACACUGGAACUGAGACACGGUCCAGACUCCUACGGGAGGCAGCAGUGGGGAAUAUUGGACAAUGGGCGCAAGCCUGAUCCAGCCAUACCGCGUGGGUGAAGAAGGCCUUCGGGUUGUAAAGCCCUUUUGUUGGGAAAGAAAAGCAGCAGGUUAAUACCCCGCUGUUCUGACGGUACCCAAAGAAUAAGCACCGGCUAACUUCGUG